rnacentral:rRNA from 1 species
GAACGCUAGCUACAGGCUUAACACAUGCAAGUCGAGGGGAAACGACAUCGAAAGCUUGCUUUUGAUGGGCGUCGACCGGCGCACGGGUGAGUAACGCGUAUCCAACCUGCCCAUCACUUGGGGAUAACCUUGCGAAAGUAAGACUAAUACCCAAUGAUAUCUCUAGAAGACAUCUGAAAGAGAUUAAAGAUUUAUCGGUGAUGGAUGGGGAUGCGUCUGAUUAGCUUGUUGGCGGGUAACGGCCCACCAAGGCGACGAUCAGUAGGGGUUCUGAGAGGAAGGUCCCCCACAUUGGAACUGAGACACGGUCCAAACUCCUACGGGAGGCAGCAGUGAGGAAUAUUGGUCAAUGGACGAGAGUCUGAACCAGCCAAGUAGCGUGCAGGAUGACGGCCCUAUGGGUUGUAAACUGCUUUUAUAAGGGAAUAAAGUGAGUCUCGUGAGACUUUUUGCAUGUACCUUAUGAAUAAGGACCGGCUAAUUCCGUG